UNGGUGCUGGAAAUAUAAAAAGAGGCAUGAA
rnacentral:piRNA from 1 species